AUUGAACGCUGGCGGCAGGCCUAACACAUGCAAGUCGAACGAGCGGCGCACGGGUGAGUAAUGUAGGGGACACUGCCCGAGGGAGGGGGAUAACUACUGGAAACGGAGGCUAAAACCGCAUACCAUCAGAUGGACACAGAUGGGAUUAGCGAGUUGGCGGGGUAAAGGCACACCAGGGCGACGAUCUCUAGCUGGUCUGAGAGGAAGAGCAGCCACACGGGAACUGAGACACGGCCCAGACUCCUACGGGAGGCAGAAGUGGGAAAUAUUGGACAUGGGGCGAAGGCCUGCUGAAGACAUGCCGCGUGUGUGAAGAAGGCCUUCGGGUUGUAAAGUACGUUCAGCGGGGAGGCGUUACCCGCAGAAGAAGCACCGGCUAACUCCGUGCCAGCAGCCGCGGUAAUUC
rnacentral:rRNA from 1 species